UCAUUAUUCCUUUGAUAUCAUCAAAUUUAUCUGAAAUGUAUGCAUGCAUGGGAGUAUAUAUAUAUAUAUAUAUACUCCCAUGCAUGCAUACAUUUCAGAUAAAUUUGAUGAUAUCAAAGGAAUAAUGA
rnacentral:miRNA from 1 species